rnacentral:tRNA from 1 species
GCCAGUGUGGUGUAGUGGUUUGAGCGUUGGACUAUGAGUCUGGAGACCAAGGUUCAAUUCCUAGCUCAGCCA